rnacentral:rRNA from 1 species
UACGGAGGGUGCGAGCGUUAAUCGGAAUUACUGGGCGUAAAGAGUGCGUAGGUGGUCAUUUAAGUUAUCUGUAAAAUCCCCGGGCUCAACCUGGGAAGGCCAGAUAAUACUGAAAGACUCGAGUAUUGGAGAGGGUAGUGGAAUUUCCGGUGUAGCGGUGAAAUGCGUAGAGAUCGGAAGGAACACCAGUGGCGAAGGCGGCUACCUGGCCAAAUACUGACACUGAGGCACGAAAGCGUGGGGAGCAAACAGG